rnacentral:misc_RNA from 1 species
UGGGCUGAACUACGCAGGCCCUUACGGACACCGCGUUUCCGCGGCUUUUCCUGCGUAGUUCAGCCCAGGUAAGGUUCUUCGCGUUACAUCGAAUUAAGCCACAUGCUCCGCCGCUUGUGCGGGUCCCCGUCAAUUCCUUUGAGUUUUAGCCUUGCGGCCGUACUCCCCAGGCGGGGUGCUUAAUGCGUUAGCUGCGGCACAGAAUCCGUCGAUAGGACCCCACACCUAGCACCCAUCGUUUACGGCUGGGACUAC